AUCAUCCAGGUAAAGUGACGUGGAUCAGUGGAUACACUUGUCUCCCCUUUAAAGGAGACGAUCCAAGUCAUCCUUAAAUAUGGGCAGUAUAUCAGUCUUGGACUGUCUAACCUGCCGGAGCAGCACUGAAUGACCACCGCACGAGCAUGUUCCUGCAACAUUCAGCAUCUGAUCCUUCAUCUGUGUGCUUCUGCUUUUGUGUCAAAUGUCAAACAGCUGGAGAGGAAACUACACCAGUGUACUGGGAUGUUUCAGCAACACGUGCCAGAUGCUGUUCCUUCAUGGUGACAUCACCAGAGACAGUCCCGCCCACCUCAGGACCCAUUGAUUAUGAUGAUCUGAUCCAUCAAACCCCCAGCAGUUACAGUACGUGAUAUCUUGAUAUCAGGCGGUCAACACUGGGGGAAGACAAGAAGCAGACGUACUUCCAAGAGGGAGCUGCAGUGAGGACACAGCCAGGUCACUGAGGUCAGAGGAGGCGCUGGAAGGUUUCCCUAAUAGUUCCUGGUGAAUCAAAGCAGAACCAUAAAGGUUGCUGGAUUGCAUGAUGGCCUUACCCCUGAGCAGUCAUCCUGUUAAAGGAGGAACCAGUUAGAAGCUGUUUUCAAAGUAGCUGAGCAGAUUUCAUCUCAACAGACAAAGCCGAUUGCAGAAGAUUUCGGAGAAGAACUUCAGGCCGUGUACUGAAAAGUAGAUCAAAUCAGCUCGUGCUGCUUCUGCUUCCAAUUUAAUGGCAAGAAGAAGAAGAAGAAUGCUUCAGCGAAGUGGCGUUCAUGGUCUCAGUGAACAGUCAUGGUCACACACUGCAUGUGGUUUUAAAAGCAACAUGUCUGUUCAGUACAACGAUCGAGAUGUGUAAUAUUAGUGCAGCUACGGUUUGUUCUUGAACAUCAGUUCUGUUUUCUACUUUGAUCACUUAGACCAAAAAAGUGUUGUUUUCAGAUUCUUUCUUUUAAAUCUAUAAAGCACCU